rnacentral:lncRNA from 1 species
CCCCGCCCUGCCAUCCUUCUCCUCUCUGCAUCCCUUGAGCCACUGGUGUUCCUCAGAUGGAGGAUGUGGCUGGCUUUCCAGACUGCUCUGCACCUGCUGCUCCACCUCCUACAAAGCCCUUGCCCUGCCCCUGCCACUCUUGAGGGAAUGAAUGAGUGACAGACAUGUGAGUAAUAGACACUUGUGAAGUGAACAAGAAAACUGCUGAAGAUGAUUCCGAUUCCGCCGGCCCGGCCAGCCCCUGGGACAUCAGGGCACUUCCAAUUGUCCCUGUGCACAGGUGAUUACAUUUAUGUUGAAUUUUUUAAUUGUCAAAGUUGUACUAACAGCAAUACAGAAAAAAGACCCACUUGGGGUCACCCCAC